GAUGAACGCUGGCGGCGUGCUUAACACAUGCAAGUCGAACGGAAAGGCCCAAGCUUGCUUGGGUACUCGAGUGGCGAACGGGUGAGUAACACGUGGGUGAUCUGCCCUGCACUUCGGGAUAAGCCUGGGAAACUGGGUCUAAUACCGGAUAGGACCACUUCUUGGAUGUUGUGGUGGAAAGUUUUUUCGGUGUGGGAUGAGCUCGCGGCCUAUCAGCUUGUUGGGGGGGUAAUGGCCUACCAAGGCGUCGACGGGUAGCCGGCGUGAGAGGGGGUACGGCCACAUUGGGACUGAGAUACGGCCCAGACUCCUACGGGGGGCAGCAGUGGGGAAUAUUGCACAAUGGGGGCAAGCCUGAUGCAGCGAAGCCGCGUGGGGGGUAACGGCCUUCGGGUUGUAAACUCCUUUCGCUAGGGACGAAGCGUUUUUGUGACGGUACCUGGAGAAGAAGCACCGGCUAACUACGUG
rnacentral:rRNA from 1 species